AUCCAGUGAAGAGUCCUAAACAGGACAAAAUGCGCAUCCUAGAU
rnacentral:hammerhead_ribozyme from 1 species